UCUUUAUCUUAUCUUAUACACUAAAUUGGCCUGGAGUCUUUUUUCUCUGCGAUCUCUUUUAGGCAACAGUAAAAAUGUAUGAAAAA